rnacentral:rRNA from 1 species
UGCAGCCGAGCGGUAUGGAUAGCUUGCUAUCCAGAGAGCGGCGUACGGGUGCGUAACACGUGUGCAACCUGCCUUUAUCUGGGGGAUAGCCUUUCGAAAGGAAGAUUAAUACCCCAUAAUAUGGUGUCCGGCAUCGGUCGCCAUUGAAAGCCUCGGCGGAUAGAGAUGGGCACGCGCAAGAUUAGAUAGUUGGCGGGGUAACGGCCCACCAAGUCGAUGAUCUUUAGGGGUCCUGAGAGGGAGAUCCCCCACACUGGUACUGAGACACGGACCAGACUCCUACGGGAGGCAGCAGUGAGGAAUAUUGGACAAUGGGUGGAAGCCUGAUCCAGCCAUCCCGCGUGAAGGAUGACGGUUCUAUGGAUUGUAAACUUCUUUUGUACAGGGAUAAACCUGCCCUCGUGAGGGCAGCUGAAGGUACUGUACGAAUAAGCACCGGCUAACUCCGUGCCAGCAGCCGCGGUAAUACGGAGGGUGCGAGCGUUAUCCGGAUUUAUUGGGUUUAAAGGGUCCGUAGGCGGGCCUGUAAGUCAGUGGUGAAAUCUCAUAGCUUAACUAUGAAACUGCCAUUGAUACUGCAGGCCUUGAGUAAAUUUGAAGUGGCUGGAAUAAGUAGUGUAGCGGUGAAAUGCAUAGAUAUUACUUAGAACACCGAUUGCGAAGGCAGGUCACUAAGAUUUAACUGACGCUGAUGGACGAAAGCGUGGGGAGCGAACAGGAUUAGAUACCCUGGUAGUCCACGCCGUAAACGAUGCUAACUCGUUUUUGGAUCUUCGGGUUCAGAGACCAAGCGAAAGUGAUAAGUUAGCCACCUGGGGAGUACGUCCGCAAGGAUGAAACUCAAAGGAAUUGACGGGGGCCCGCACAAGCGGUGGAUUAUGUGGUUUAAUUCGAUGAUACGCGAGGAACCUUACCAAGACUUAAAUGGGAAUUGACAGAUUUAGAAAUAGAUCCUCCUUCGGGCAAUUUUCAAGGUGCUGCAUGGUUGUCGUCAGCUCGUGCCGUGAGGUGUUAGGUUAAGUCCUGCAACGAGCGCAACCCCUGCCAACAGUUGCCAUCAUUCAGUUGGGGACUCUGUUGGGACUGCCUACGCAAGUAGAGAGGAAGGUGGGGAUGACGUCAAAUCAUCACGGCCCUUACGUCUUGGGCCACACACGUAAUACAAUGGCCGGUACAGAGGGCAGCUACCUGGUGACAGGAUGCGAAUCUCGAAAGCCGGUCUCAGUUCGGAUUGGAGUCUGCAACUCGACUCUAUGAAGCUGGAAUCGCUAGUAAUCGCGCAUCAGCCAUGGCGCGGUGAAUACGUUCCCGGGCCUUGUACACACCGCCCGUCAAGCCAUGGAAGUCUGGGGUACCUGAAGUCGG